rnacentral:lncRNA from 1 species
GAUUUCAUCAAAAUUGAAUAAUUGGGGUUCUUUGAUAUGCCGAAUCUAACUGUCAUGACUGUGUAUGUAGAUUCUUAACUUUUGGUCCCGUUUUCAAAUUGGUCUACAUUAAGGUCCAAAGGGUCCAAAAUUAAACUUAGUUUGAUUUUGACAAAAAAUGAAUCAGUUAGGUUCUUUGAUAUGCUGAAUCUAAAAAUGUACUUAGAUUCUUGAUUAUUGGCCCAGUUUUCAAGUUGGUCCAAAUCGGGGUCCAAAAUUAAACUUUGUUUGAUUUCAUCAAAAAUUGAAUAAAUGGGG